UACGUAGGGACCGAGCGUUGUCCGGAAUCAUUGGGCGUAAAGAGCGUGUCGGCGGCUUGCUAAGUCUUGCGUGAAAUCUCGGGGCUCAACCCCGAGCGGUCGUGGGAAACUGGCAGGCUAGAGUGCGGGAGAGGAGAAUGGAAUUCCUGGUGUAGCGGUGAAAUGCGCAGAUAUCAGGAAGAACACCCGUGGCGAAGGCGGUUCUCUGGAACGCAACUGACGCUGAGACGCGAAAGCGUGGGGAGCAAACAGG
rnacentral:rRNA from 1 species